UACGUAGGGUGCAAGCGUUAAUCGGAAUUACUGGGCGUAAAGGGCUCGUAGGCGGCCAACUAAGUCGGAUGUGAAAUCCCCAGGCUCAACUUGGGAACUGCAUCCGAUACUGGAUGGCUUGAAUUCGGGAGAGGGAUGCAGAAUUCCAGGUGUAGCGGUGAAAUGCGUAGAUAUUCGCAAGAACACCAGUGGCGAAGGCGGCUCACUGGCCCGGUACUGACGCUGAGGUGCGAAAGCGUGGGGAGCAAACAGG
rnacentral:rRNA from 1 species